rnacentral:rRNA from 1 species
ACGGGAGGCAGCAGUGAGGAAUAUUGGUCAAUGGGCGGAAGCCUGAACCAGCCAAGUCGCGUGAAGGAUGAAGGUAUUAUGUAUUGUAAACUUCUUUAGCAGUGGAGUAAUAAGGGGCUCGUGAGCCCUGAUGCAAGUACACUGAGAAUAAGGAUCGGCUAACUCCGUGCCAGCAGCCGCGGUAAUACGGAGGACCCGAGCGUUAUCCGGAUUUAUUGGGUUUAAAGGGUGCGCAGGCGGUCUUUUAAGUCAGUGGUCAAAUCGUGGUGCUCAACGCCAUCCCGCCAUUGAUACUGGGAGACUUGAUUUCGGUCGAGGUAGGCGGAAUUCGUCGUGUAGCGGUGAAAUGCAUAGAUAUGACGAAGAACCCCGAUUGCGUAGGCAGCUUACCAGCCCGACAAUGACGCUCAUGCACGAAAGUGCGGGGAUCGAACAGGAUUAGAUACCCUGGUA